rnacentral:rRNA from 1 species
GAUGAACGCUGGCGGCGUGCCUAAUACAUGCAAGUCGAGCGAACAGAUGAUGCUCUUGCUCCUCUGACGUUAGCGGCGGACGGGUGAGUAACACGUGUAUAACCUACCUAUAAGACUGGUAUAACUUCGGGAAACCGGAUCUAAUACCGGAUAAUAUAUUGAACCGCAUGGUUCAAUAGUGAAAUUCGGUUUUUCUGUCUCUUAUAGCUGGUUCCGCGCCGCAUUAGCUAGUUGGUAAGGUAACGGCUUACCAAGGCAACCAUGCGUAGACGACCUGAGAGGGGGAUAGGCGACACGGGAAGGGAAACAGGGACAAGAGGACUAAGGGAGGCAGCAGAAGGGAAUGGGCGGCAAUGGGGGAAAGAAUGACGGAGCAACGGGGAGUGAGAGAUGAAGGUGUUCGGAUCGUAAAAAUCUGUUAUGAGGGAAGAACAAAUGUGGAAGGAAAUAAGGAGGUAGUGACGGUAACGAAUAAGAAAGCAACGGCUAACUACGUG